AAGGGAAUCCCCCUAGUACUGCGAGUGAAGCGGGAAAAGCUCAAAUUUAAAAUCUGGCGGUCUUUGGCCGUCCGAGUUGUAGUCUGGAGAAGUGCUUUCCGCGCUGGACCGUGUACAAGUCUCUUGGAACAGAGCGUCAUAGAGGGUGAGAAUCCCGUCUUUGACACGGACUACCAGUGCUUUGUGAUGCGCUCUCAAAGAGUCGAGUUGUUUGGGAAUGCAGCUCAAAAUGGGUGGUGAAUUCCAUCUAAAGCUAAAUAUUGGCGAGAGACCGAUAGCGAACAAGUACCGUGAGGGAAAGAUGAAAAGCACUUUGGAAAGAGAGUUAAACAGUACGUGAAAUUGCUGAAAGGGAAACGCUUGAAGUCAGUCGCGUCGUCCGGAACUCAGCCUUGCUUCGGCUUGGUGCACUUUCCGGAUGACGGGCCAGCAUCGAUUUUGACCGCCGGAAAAGGGUAGGAGAAAUGUGGCACCUUCGGGUGUGUUAUAGUCUCCUAUCGCAUACGGCGGUUGGGAUCGAGGAACGCAGCGCGCCUUAUGGCUGGGGUUCGCCCACAUUCGCGCUUAGGAUGCUGGCAUAAUGGCUUUAAACGACCCGUCUUGAAACACGGACC
rnacentral:rRNA from 1 species